CAGCCGCCGCGGGAAUACGUAGGGUGCGAGCGUUAAUCGGAAUUACUGGGCGUAAAGCGUGCGCAGGCGGUUAUAUAAGACAGAUGUGAAAUCCCCGGGCUCAACCUGGGACCUGCAUUUGUGACUGUAUAGCUAGAGUACGGUAGAGGGGGAUGGAAUUCCGCGUGUAGCAGUGAAAUGCAUAGAUAUGCGGAGGAACACCGAUGGCGAAGGCAAUCCCCUGGACCUGUACUGACGCUCAUGCACGAAAGCGUGGGGAGCAAACAGGAUUAGAUACCCCUGUAGUCCCUGUCUCUUAUAC
rnacentral:rRNA from 1 species